rnacentral:rRNA from 1 species
AUUGAACGCUGGCGGCAGGCCUAACACAUGCAAGUCGAGCGAGCGGCGGACGGGUGAGUACUGCCUGGGACUUGCGCAGUAGGGGGGGAUAACAGUUGAAAACGACUUCUAAUCCCACAUACGAUUGUCUUCCCCGGGUGGGAUUAGCUAUUUGGGGGGGUAAUGGCUCACCAAGGCGACGAGCCCUAGCUGGUCUGAGAGGAUGAUCAGCCACACUGGAACUGAGACACGGUCCAGACUCCUACGGGAGGCAGCAGUGGGGAAUAUUGCACAAUGGGGGAAACCCUGAUGCAGCCAUGCCGCGUGUGUGAAGAAGGCCUUCGGGUUGUAAAGCACUUUCAGCGAGGAGGCGUUACUAGCAGAAGAAGCACCGGCUAACUCCGUGCCAGCAGCCGCGGUAAUUC